GACGAACGCUGGCGGCGUGCUUAACACAUGCAAGUCGAACGGAAAGGCCCUGCUUUUGUUGGGUGCUCGAGUGGCGAACGGGUAAGUAACCCGUGAGUAACCUGCCCUUGUCUUUGGGAUAACUUCUGGUAACUGGGGCUAAUACCGGAUAGGAGCUCCUGCUGCCUGUUGGGGGUUGGCAAGGUUCGGCGGUUGGGGAUGGACGCGCGGCUUAUCAGCUUGUUGGUGGGGUGGUGGCUUACCAAGGCUUUGACGGGUAGCCGGCAUGAGAGGGUGACCGGCCACAUUGGGACUGAGAUACGGCCCAGACUCCUACGGGAAGCAGCAGUGGGGAAUAUUGCACAAUGGGCGGAAGCCUGAUGCAGAAACGCCGCGUGCGGGAUGACGGCCUUCGGGUUGUAAACCGCUUUCGCCUGUGACGAAGCGUGAGUGACGGUAAUGGGUAAAGAAGCACCGGCUAACUACGUG
rnacentral:rRNA from 1 species